rnacentral:lncRNA from 1 species
UUAUAAUAACAUUUUUCGAGGUUUCAUUGCUUAAAAUUGUUGCAUGAUAUAGCCUCAUUUUUAAUAGUUACAAAAAUAUCACGCUCAAUGUAUGUUACUAAACAGUCAUUCAUCCAUUCAUCUCUCAUUUGGUUACGGAGUUCAUUCUUCACGAUAUUUAUGGCUGAAAAUGUCCUUUCAACAGUUGCAGUAGCAACGGGCAAAAGUAGAGCCAAUUUCAGCAACAAAUAGACUUGGGGAUACACAUCAUCCUUUCUUUUCUGAACCAACAUUUGAGCCAAUUCCUCAAUUCCUUCUAUACUCGAAAAAUUGGAAUCGGUUCUCUAUAUCCACAAUAUAGAAGAAUAGAAAAAUUGACUUAAUGACUUAGUGGGAUUUGGGAAUUAGGGAUUGUUGCCUAGUGUCUGCUCACUUAGUAUAUAUAUAACAUAAUACAGUGGGGUCAUGUUUCUUAGUAUACAUGUUCACUUUAGACCCU